rnacentral:piRNA from 1 species
UUCAAAUCGGGUCAUAUCUUC